rnacentral:rRNA from 1 species
CCUACGGUCGGCAGCAGUGAGGAAUAUUGGUCAAUGGGCGAGAGCCUGAACCAGCCAAGUCGCGUGAGGGAGUACUGCCCUAUGGGUUGUAAACCUCUUUUGUCGGGGAGCAAAAGCCGGACGUGUCCGGCUGUGAGAGUACCCAAAGAAAAAGCAUCAGCUAACUCCGUGACAGCAGCCGCGGUAAUACGGAGGAUGCGAGCGUUAUCCGGAUUUAGUGGGUGUAAAGGGUGCGCCGGCGGAGUUUUAAGUCAGCGGUCACAUCGUGGGGCUAAACCCCAUCCAGCCGGUGACACUGGGGAUCGAGAGGGGGGGAGAGGUAGGCGGAAUGCAUGGUGUAGCGGUGAAAUGCAUAGAUAUCACGCAGAACCCCGAUUGCGAAGGCAGCAUACCGGUGAACAACUGACGCUCAGGCACGAAAGCGUGGGUAUCGAACAGGAUUAGAUACCCGAGUAGA